UACGAGGGGGGCAAGCGUUGUUCGGAAUUAUUGGGCGUAAAGGGUGCGUAGGCGGUCUGAUAAGUCAUCUGUGAAAUCUAUGGGCUCAACCCAUAGUCUGCAGGCGAAACUGUCGGGCUUGAGUAUGGGAGAGGUGAGUGGAAUUUCCGGUGUAGCGGUGAAAUGCGUAGAUAUCGGAAGGAACACCGGUGGCGAAAGCGGCUCACUGGACCAUUACUGACGCUGAUGCACGAAAGCUAGGGGAGCAAACAGG
rnacentral:rRNA from 1 species